rnacentral:lncRNA from 1 species
GUUAGGGUUGGUUCAUACAUUAAAUAAUUAAUUUUAAAAAAAAUCAGAUUUUUUAAAUAUCAAACUUUCAAUCUGAUUUUAGAAUGUAAAAUACUUAAAGUAUGGUUUAGUGUAAUCAGAACAGGUUCAAACGCAACUUCUUAGCCACCUAGCCAAACGAGACAUUAAGAUAGGCAAUUCAAACUACUAUUACCUCUACAUCUCAAGCUGUUGACUACUCCGUAGUACAUGUCCUCAAUAUUAUAGAAUAAUGGAGCAGAAAUGCAUUUUCUCUUUGGCACCCCACCACAUAACUUCAAUAGACUAUCACGGAAUUUUUUUAAAGUAAAUAAAAACCACAUGUAGUCUUGUUUCUUUUCUCUAUAUUUCUCCACUGAUCCUUUUAAGUAGGCAAAUGACUUCUUUAGAUCUGAUAUGAAAAGGUAAGAUACUGAAGAGAAAAAAUAAAAGAGAUCUCUUGUCAGUCCAACUAUUACAGACUUAAAAGAGUUCUAAAGCUUUCAUCAAAAGCUAUGGAAGGCUACUUGAAGAUCACCUCUUAUUGGAGUAGUAAAAUAUUCAUGCCAACUUUACUUUGCAUAUAAAUAACAACUUAUAUAAAUAUGUAGGUGAUCCGAACAAAUCCUCGUGCACAAUAUUUGCAGCGAGAAUAAAUAAUGAUGUUCCAAAAUGUAGCAAAGAAAAUAGCAUACCUGUAUGGCUUGACUGUCAUUUUUCUGUCAUUGGAGAAUCGUCCAUGCCCUAUAAAAUACUCAUAAACAAUGAAUACUCUUGGUCAUAAUCAAAAAAAUAUAACAUAAAUAUAUAGAAAACAGGUUCCAAGUGGUAUUACCUUCAGAAGAAAUUUUCAAAUGUUAAUAACAAAGCUUCUCCGAAUUUCUAUGGUUAUCCCAGAAACAAGAUAAAUAAGUUCACUCCUCAAAUUUCUAGAAGCAAUCUGUCAGAAAAUGAUAAUCAAACAUCGUCCGUGUUACGCCCAUAUUUGAACCACUUCGGAAAGUCCACCACCACAUCAUGCGAGGUGUGGAACACUCAUUCGAAGUGGUUUCGAAGUGACUUCACCAAUGAUGACGAUCUGCUAUCACACUACGAGACAUAGGCAAUUCUGCGGGACUGAUCGAAGCGCCCUCGUCCUUGAAUCCGAGACGAAAUGCACUUCGGUGACCUCUGUCAGAGGAUCCGCCGUCAAUUUCAAAAUGAGAUCUUUGUCAAGAUCUUUUUUGCCCUUAAAGUUUAAAGUGAUUUGACGUCUCCAUGAGACUUAGUUGAUGUGACGUAUCAAUUUUAUGUCAACUCAACUUGGGAGAAGUAAUUACCCACCCACUCUAUAGACACGGCUGAUUGACGUCUAUGAGCAGAUGCCUCAUAUCGUCAGAUGUAUACACUUGUCCCACAUUCAACGAUUCUCCUCACCUAUAAACAUCCAAGGCUUAGCAAGAUGCAAAGGUAAUGAAACUCUUACUACUGAGCACUCCAUAGCAAGCAAAUAUAUAUAUAUAUAUGAUUUAGUCCCCUAACAUUUAUGAUUUAGUCCCCUAACAUUUUGAUUAACAUAUUUCAUUGCCCCCAACUUUGAAAAGUGAGUUUUUAAGUCUUGAAUAGAAAUUAAUGAAAUGUGUAAAUAAAAUUAAUGGUUUAUUGUAAAAUAAGUUGUUAUCGAUUUAUUUUUUAAACUAAAUCAAAG